rnacentral:rRNA from 1 species
AAGCCUGAUCCAGCCAUGCCGCGUGAAGGAAUAAGGUCCUAUGGGUCGUAAACUUCUUUUGACGCAGAGCAAUAAGGAACACGUGUGUUCCGACGAGAGUAUGCGUCGAAUAAGCAUCGGCUAACUCCGUGCCAGCAGCCGCGGUAAUACGGAGGAUGCGAGCGUUAUCCGGAUUUAUUGGGUUUAAAGGGUGCGUAGGCUGUUGGAUAAGUCAGCGGUGAAAUCACCACGCUUAACGUGUUGUGUGCCGUUGAAACUGUCUGGCUUGAAUGCGCUCGUCGUGAGAGGAAUGUGUGGUGUAGCGGUGAAAUGCAUAGAUAUCACACAGAACACCGAUUGCGAAGGCAUCUCACGAGGGCGCUAUUGACGCUGAUGCACGAAAGCGCGGGUAUCGAACAGGAUUAGAUACCCUGGUAGUCCGCGCUGUAAACGAUGAUGACUAACCGUUGGGUCUGAAUGGAUCAGUGGUCAAGCGAAAGCGUUAAGUCAUCCACCUGGGGGAGUACGGCCGCAAGGCUGAAACUCAAAGGAAUUGACGGGGGCCCGCACAAGCGGAGGAACAUGUGGUUUAAUUCGAUGAUACGCGAGGAAC